AAACAUUUGUUGAAUUAUAAAAAGAAAUAAGUUGAAUAUUGAAUAAAUUAUAAAAAUAAUUUUGUGUUUAAAAGGCAGUAGUAUAAAACCUUAUAUUAUAUAUUAUGUUAAAUGAAAAAAUUGAGUAAUAAGUAAAUUUUCGUAUUGGCAAAGAAUAAGUCUUUCCCGAAGUACGAAGAAGUGUCGAAAGUAAAAAUCUAUCAUAUAGACAAAGAUGGAGUUUCAGUAUGAUUUUAUUAUUAUUUUAUUAUUUUAUUAUUUUUUUAUUACAGUGAUAACCAUGCACAGAUAUAAUUAGUUAUAAACUGAAAUGUUUACAUUUUUUAAAAUUUAUAUUUUAUUUUAUAGGAUAACGUUUGUUGUUUUUUUAUCAAGUUUACAUAGGUAAAAAUGUUUUUGCUGUGCUAAUGUUCACACAGAUAUUAAUAUGAUUUAUUAAACGUUUGAGGAUUACAUAUUAUUAAUUCAGUAGGUAUAAUAUUUAUUUAUAAUUUAAGCAGGUGUAUCUGGCAAAACACAAUUCAAAAUAUUUAAACUUGAUUAAUUGUUAAAACUCGUAUAAAAGGGAUACCACUUUACAUAAAAACUCAUUAGAAAUACUAAAUUAUAUUAAAAUAUUAUUGAGUACAACAUCAAUACAAACUAAAAAUGAACUUUAAAUUCAUCAUUGCCAUGGCAAUUUUCAUCAUCGUUAGUAUGUUUAAUUUAGCACAAGUUGAUGCACAAGCAUCAUCUGCUCCUCCCACGACUGGCACACCUACCUCGACUACCGCAACAGGCAACUGCACAGCUCAACCUCCUAAAUCUAGUUCCUAAUCUGCAGGAACCUCAUAACCAACAGCAACUACUUGAUAAUAAUAUUCAAUAUGACUAUAGUUGCAAGUCUGAUAUAAGUUCAUAAUUUAUCUUAUAUACUUUCUGAUGGCUAAUGUACCUAUUUUAUAUGCAAAUACAAUUGUAUGCACACUCAGAAGUAUACUCAUAUUAUAUACCCAUUAAAAUACAAAAUAUAUGAUUUAUCCAAAUUUUAAUAUGUUAUUGUAACAUUGCACUUAAUAAUUAUGUAUGCUUUCGAAAAUAAAAAUUUUGAAAAAAAUUG